AGUGUAAACAGCUUCUUCCUUACAUCUAGUCUAAACUUCCCCUCUUUUAGUUUGAAACCAUUUCUUCUUGUCCUAUUCAGACAGCAGCCCUGCUAACAGUGCAUCAUGCCAGGAGGAAUGCUCUCUUGACGCAGAGAACCGCAGGUCCUCAACACACGGGAGCAGGUAGAUAUAAAGGAGCAGGAGAAGAGCAGUGGGGAUGAAGAAUAUUUCUGCAGAGUGGGAUUUUUUGGGUGCAAGGUGGAAGAAACUGGGCAUUAAAGCUGUUGCCUGAAAACAGAGUUCUUGAAAAGCCAGCAGGAAUAGGAGGUGCUGGAACAAAAACCACACAGGUUACUGCCAAGUUAAGCUGCAGGAGCUGAAAGUAAAGCUGGGAAAGUCCACAGAGGAGAAAGCUAAACUGAUGGUGUAGUGGAAAUGCUGAGUCAUGGCCUGCAGCACUGAUUGAGCACCUGUGGGAAGACAGGGCCAACCCAGGGAGCUCAGGUGCAUGCAGUGUACCUGGGUGAUGGAAGGGGUGGAGUCAGGAUGCACCCCUUCCCAGGCCUCAUUUAAGGGUUGGCAGUGGAGGUAAGAGCUUCUCUUACUUGGGAUUCCUUCCUACCUGAUGCUUUCCAGAGGUCGGAGAUUUCCAGAAAGGACUGAGCCUGGGCAACAAGCGAUGAAUCAGAGGCAGAACAAAACAUGACAUCUCCAUCAGAGGGAAGAAAGGAAGACUCGAUGAAACAUCCCAUGCUCACAUUGCUCCAGCCUUUUGUUGUCUGCUGACUUCACUUCCCCCGUCUGGCUCAGGAGUGGGGAAAGCCCGAUGACAGCAUGCAGAGACAGAUCAUCGUCCUCCUUAUGCCUCACUGUAUGCAGCAAUGUGGCAAAGCCCCCACGUGCCAGAGUGCAGCAAGUGCAGCUAGUGAGCCAUGGGAGACACGGCAAGGCAGAGCUGGCCUGGUUUGGGGCUGCGACAGCCAAUGGAAGGUUCAACAGAUAGCAGCUGCUACUUAGCUGCUGUUCUGCACCCUGCCCGCACAGCAGACCGGACACGCAGAGAGCCAGCUGUAAGUCAAUACUACUGCUAUAUGCCAACCAAACUGUUGCUUUCUUAGAAAUCAGCGUGCAUUCAUGUGUGAGCCCAUUUGCUCAAUGCCACACCAAGGGAGGCAAUGACCAGUGCAGCCAUACUGUGUCCUCGCUCACCCAUCGCCUACUCAUCCCGUGCUGUACACAGAUGUGUGCGUGGCACUUACAUGAUAGCCCUGCAGCUGGCAGACACUGAGUGGUCAGUACGAUUGUCCAACCAGAACUAAAUUUGUACUAAGUGCCUCCUUGCAAGUGCUAACAAUAACCCAGAGCCACCACUUGUAAAGCAUUCAUGUUGUUUCUGUGCUUCUCAUUUAACUACACUGCAAUAAACCGGUGCUUCUGUUCAUGAAUCCCAUCCAGCUUGCUCCACGCAUUGCUCCUCCUUUAGAGAUGGCUCUAGCUACUGCCUGGCUCACUGAAGUUUAGUAGACCUCCCAAGCAAGAUGGUGGUUAUUUAACUCUACAGAGGUCCACUGCCUUCUUUCACAGCCUACAAGAGGAAUUCCACACCAGCAGCAGUUUAUUCUCAUUGCCUGGAACAGCAUACAACAGAGGACAAGCUACAAACUUGCUGUGAAUGCCAAUGUUCUUAACCUCAGGCCUGUUGAGCACCUUCUUCAGGCUACCCAGGAAUAUCCCUGUUUCAAAAAAACAGGUUCCAAAAGGACUCUGAGAGUACUGGGUCUCACACCCAGGAAGCCACAUGGAGAGGCUCAUUAAUCCAGUCCCAGCUUCUGAGCAAAAGGAAAGAGCUUUCAAGAACAAGUCACACAGUUAAGAACUAAAAAGUGAGAGCUACCAAAUGAGUACCGUCUCCAAAUGAGUCUACCUGCAAGCUAGAAUAUUCAUCUCACUCAAAGUAUUUGUAAGUACUAAGACCAAAAGUCUCGCUAUUACCUAGUAUCUGCCUUUGCAUAUCAAAGGCUUGAAAGGGCUGGCAGCUGGGGAGCAAGCGUAGGUAAUGAGAACAACAUACUAACACUGAAUAUGCUGUUCUCACACCUGCAUGCUGGAGUCUUCAGUGAAGCACAGCUCAGUUCCAUGCUGAAACUGAGGACAAGGCCAGCAGCUGCCUGGCCAGCUUCUAAACAGGCGGUGGCACCUGCUGACCCUCAGCCACCAUGCUGCAGAGCCCUGGGUAUCUGCAUGGCACACCAGUUUCGAGCCACACUGCAACACACAGCAAGUUGUCCCAUGCUUUUCACAUCACUGUCAAAGCUUAGGGAUGAAAGCAUUUACUACGAAGCUGAAUCUUCAGGAAUGUGACAAAGUCUUAAAAAUAAGCAGUAGAAUUCAUCACAAGUGUACAUUUCAACCAGCAUCUAUCUUACUUUCCUCUAAAAUAGAGGAAGACUAUCAGCUUCGUAUGGUAGAUAUUACUUUCUUCCUCACACAUCCUGCACUGGGGCUGAGAAUAGAAACCAAAAACAAAGACAUUUGCAUCAUACCAUUUCCCCCUGUCACUUCCACCCCUCCUCCCUCUCCUGCCCUUUUUAAAAGCUAUUUUCCAGCAUGUUCUCCCGAAAAUACCAUUUUGUUUUCUCACAAAACACU